UUGCCCACCCUGGACUAAUAAAUGUCCUUGGUGAUUAACACAGGGGGGCAAAUUGAAUCUCUCAUAAACCUGUAGUGAAGGAACACCGUCCUCUCUGCGGAUCCUGUCGGGAGAAACAAAC